rnacentral:misc_RNA from 1 species
AACGCACUUGGCACCUGCACUUGAUGCAGGUAUACCUGUUUGAGCAUUGAAAAUACAUAUACGGACGCAAGUUUGUAUGAGCUGGGGUCCAGACUAGGUGUUCUUCGGAAUAUCAUGCGUUUGCACCCUGAAAUGGAAAAGGACUGGCUGCGAGAAGGCUAUGGGCGUCCAUGUGAUGACAAGGCCGUGGUCUUGGCUCGUGGGCGCACACUUGCAUUCGCGCAGGUCAACCAAUCCCACUACGUCACGGUUCUCACGGUCCGCACGGUUCCUUACGGAACCGCGUCGCACCGUGUCGCGCCGUGUCGCACCGUGUUACCGUAACACUCACUCAUUUCACAAUCUCAGAUCAGGCAAGACUACCCGCUGAACUUAA